rnacentral:rRNA from 1 species
UACGUAGGGUGCGAGCGUUGUCCGGAAUUAUUGGGCGUAAAGAGCUUGUAGGCGGUUUGUCGCGUCUGCUGUGAAAAUCCGGGGCUCAACCCCGGACUUGCAGUGGGUACGGGCAGACUAGAGUGUGGUAGGGGAGACUGGAAUUCCUGGUGUAGCGGUGAAAUGCGCAGAUAUCAGGAGGAACACCGAUGGCGAAGGCAGGUCUCUGGGGCCACUACUGACGCUGAGAAGCGAAAAGCUGGGGAGCGAACAGG